AAGGUGGCUUUUGGGCUGUCGCAGAUGGAUGAGCCUGCGUUGGAUUAGCUAGUUGGUGGGGUAAGGGCCUACCAAGGCUACGAUCCAUAGCUGAUUUGAGAGGAUGAUCAGCCACAUUGGGACUGAGACACGGCCCAAACUCCUACGGGAGGCAGCAGUGAGGAAUAUUGGACAAUGGGGGCAACCCUGAUCCAGCAAUGCCAUGUGUGUGAAGAAGGCCUUAGGGUUGUAAAGCACUUUAGUUGGGGAAGAAAGCUUUGAGGUUAAUAGCCUUGAGGAAAAGGACGUUACCCAAAGAAUAAGCACCGGCUAACUCCGUGCCAGCAGCCGCGGUAAUACGGGGGGUGCAAGCGUUAAUCGGAAUUACUGGGCGUAAAGGGUCUGUAGGUGGUUUGUUAAGUCAGAUGUGAAAGCCUAGGGCUCAACCUUGGAACUGCAUUUGAUACUGGUAAACUAGAGUACGGUAGAGGAAUGGGGAAUUUCUGGUGUAGCGGUGAAAUGCGUAGAGAUCAGAAGGAACACCAAUGGCGAAGGCAACAUUCUGGACCGAUACUGACACUGAGGGACGAAAGCGUGGGGAUCAAACAGGAUUAGAUACCCUGGUAGUCCACGCUGUAAACGAUGAGUACUAGCUGUUGGAGUCGGUGUAAAGGCUCUAGUGGCGCAGCUAACGCGAUAAGUACUCCGCCUGGGGACUACGGCCGCAAGGCUAAAACUCAAAGGAAUUGACGGGGACCCGCACAAGCGGUGGAGCAUGUAGUUUAAUUCGAUGCAACGCGAAGAACCUUACCUGGUCUUGACAUCCUGCGAUCUUUCUAGAGAUAGAUUGGUGCCUUCGGGAACGCAGUGACAGGUGCUGCACGGCUGUCGUCAGCUCGUGUUGUGAAAUGGUUGGGUUAAGUCCCGCAACGAGCGCAACCCCUAU
rnacentral:rRNA from 1 species